rnacentral:lncRNA from 1 species
ACCCCUCAGCGGAGGCACUGCCAGCAUCGCUGAAUUUUGCUCCGUGCUUGCUAAUACCUGAGUGUGAUUGCCGUUCUCCGCCCUACUCCAGAGUCUAAACUGAGUGGUUUCUACAAAGAUGCAGUGAUCUGUGCCCAAGACAUAGGAGGCAACUUUGUAAAAGGGCACCCGAGAGGUCACCAGGGCGGGGUCCCACUCUGGUUUUCCUGCUUGUCUGCGAGUGAGUGUGUGUCUCCCUCUGUUCCUCCGCAGGUGGGUCCGCCCUACUCAGCUCUGUGUCCCCGUCCUCUGCUCCUGCUCUCAAGGCUUGGUUUGGGUUCCCCCACUUCAUUUUUCCUAUCGCUAACUUGAAUAGAAGGUCGUUUGAAGAAGUACUUAAAAAUGAAACGGAGAAGUUUCUGGAAACUUUCUGUGCGGGCUGCAAGGUAAAACAACAACACAAAGCACUGCAGAUCUGCCUCAGAGCCACACCAGAGAGGCUGGCUCCUGCGGUUAAGUGUCUUUGGCAAGUUUUGGAGGAAAUCUCCCUCCGGCUGCAAGCAAUACAGAAAGGCUUCCGGAGUGAUGGGAGAGAGCAGAGAGGAAGGCUGACGAGAAAACUCUGAAUUCUGACAGAGUCCUCACUAGCCAUUCUGAAAAACGCACCCUCAAACUGUGCCGGGUCUUCGGGAACCCUGACUCACCGUAGGUCGCAGCUACUCCUCCUUAAGUCAGUCUUGGCUGUCCAGGUUGGCUGCUUGGUGACCGAGAUUCAAAAGCUGCCUGCUGAGCAAACAAACGAAAGGAACCAGGAGUGAACUGUGGCAGCAAUGGUGUUCCCCGCAGGCUGGGUGUCACUUACCAGCCUCAUCAAUAAUGAAGGAUUGAUAAAUAAUCCAUUGCAAAGAAAGGACCCUCCUAUUGUCACCUCGUAUUUCCCAGCUUUUUACAACCAUGGUGCCAGAUGUAAAUUGGAUAAAUUAAGUGAGGAUUUAAUUUUAUUUACAUUUACUUUUGACUAUACAUUUAUUUAGUUUACUUUUACUAUAUGAUUAUUUAUUUAUUUAGUGUGUGUGUGUGUGUGUGUGUGUGUGUGUGUGUGUGUGUGUGUGUAUGGCAAGGGACUCAUGUAGAAGUCAGAGGACAACUUGCCAGGUGGGAUUGAACUCAAAUAGUCAGGCUUGGCAGCAAGCUCCUUUACCCUCUAACCUAUCUCCCUGGCUCACACAUUUAUUGAAUAGAUGAAUCUAUAUUUA